rnacentral:rRNA from 1 species
AGCUCCAAUAGCGUAUACUAAAGUUGUUGCAGUUAAAAAGCUCGUAGUUGGAUUUCGGGGCGGCGCGGUUGGUCAGCCGCAAGGUAUGUUACUGGCCGCGCUGUUCUUCUUCGCCAAGACUACGUGUGCUCUUAAUUGAGUGUGGGUAGGAUUUGCGACGUUUACUUUGAAAAAAUUAGAGUGUUCAAAGCAGGCUUGUGCUUGAAUACAUAAGCAUGGAAUAAUGGAAUAGGACUUUGGUUCUAUUUUGUUGGUUUCUAGAACCGAAGUAAUGAUUAAUAGGGACAGUUGGGGGCAUUCGUAUUUCGUUGUCAGAGGUGAAAUUCUUGGAUUUACGAAAGACGAACUAAUGCGAAAGCAUUUGCCAAGAAUGUUUUCA